rnacentral:lncRNA from 1 species
GUGGUGCAUGCGGCUCUUGAAGAAACCCUUAAUUGUAGAUCGUUGUAAGAUCAAUUUCGUCUACCAGUCACACAAUUUUCUUAGCCCAUUUAGUCAUGUAAUAUGUAUGCUAAAAAUAAACCUUAAAGAUAAGGUCAAUGCAAGAUGAACCAUUGAACCUUAUCCUACUUCAUUCGUGCCGAACACUUAUGCUAUAUACCGAAUAUAGCUGACAUUAGGGACAAUAACACCUAGCUAUCAUUGAAAGUU